UCCAAUCAAACCCACUUAAAUCCAAAUCAACCGUUUUCAAAUCAGAGAGAGAUUUUACAUUAAUUUUCUAAAAAAAUAAUUGAAAUUGGUUAGAUAUACGAGCAUAUCAGUGCACGAGCCGUAUAAAAUGGCAGACGGCACAUGCAAGCAUAUAAAACUCGCGCCGGUGAGACAAAUUUCGGCAACUAAAAGGGCCGAUUCCGCUAUUCAGAGCGCAUCAGCGACGCUGCAUGAUUGCCUUUUCCUUCUUUAAUCAAAAUUAAACAGAAAUCAAUUUAAGAUCACAUACACUACUACCUUGGACGCAUCGGAGACGAAAGCAGAAAUAUUCGAGUUCUC
rnacentral:lncRNA from 1 species